rnacentral:rRNA from 1 species
GAGUCUCCCUAGUAACUGCGAGUGAAGCGGGAAAAGCUCAAAUUUAAAAUCUGGUAGUCUUUGGCUGCCCGAGUUGUAAUCUAGAGAAGCAUUAUCCGCGCUGGACCGUGUACAAGUGUCCUGGAAUGGACCAUCAUAGAGGGUGAGAAUCCCGUCUUUGACACGGACUCCCAGGGCUUUGUGAUGUGCUCUCAAAGAGUCGAGUUGUUUGGGAAUGCAGCUCUAAAUGGGUGGAUAAUUCCAUCUAAAGCUAAAUAUUGGCGAGAGACCGAUAGCGAACAAGUACCGUGAGGGAAAGAUGAAAAGAACUUUGGAAAGAGAGUUAAACAGUACGUGAAAUUGCUGAAAGGGAAACGCUUGAAGUCAGUCGCGUUGGCUGGGGAUCAACCUUGGCUUGGCUUACUUCCCAGUUGACGGGUCAGCAUCAGUUUUGACCGGUGGAUAAAGGCUAGGGGAAUGUGGCACCCUCGGGUGUGUUAUAGCCCUUGGUAC